rnacentral:tRNA from 1 species
GCCGCCGUAGCUCAUCUGGAAGAGCAGUCCCUUUGUACGGCACAGGUCGCGGGUUCGAUUCCUGCCGGCGGCUCCA